rnacentral:lncRNA from 1 species
UGCUUUUCAUUAACUUUACCCAAUCUUUUGGUUAACUCUCUGGUUAACAGCUGGACAAGUACGUUAGUCCUGGGGCAAGUACGUUAGCCCAUAAAUUUACCCAAUUCAGUGGUUAACCCUUUGGUUAACAAUAACUCACCAACAAAAUCCCUCACGGGCCCUAAGCUGCCUCCCGAUGGGACCGUCUGUCGGACAAGUACGUUAGUCCUGGGGCAAGUACGUUAGCCCAACAAGUGACUACUCCGGAGCUCACUGCCUGGGGGGAGCGACCACCACCAAGCUAAGAAAACAGACUAGUGAGUAAGAUCUGAUCCCCUUUUAGAGGAUUCAACUGACAACAAUGUCACCAUUUAACUCUAACUAGUUCUUUAUACUAGUUUCAUAAUUACAUUUCUCGAUGCUAACCAAAUCUCUAGUCAUGAUGUCACCAAGUUUACUAUUGUCUUGGUCAAUGCAUUCAUAGGGUUCUAUGUCCACAAUCUAAGGUUCACAAAUUCUCAUUGUUGAUAGGAAUUCACAUUUUCACUCGCUCAAUGCCAAACACCCUAUAAUGCAUGACUACAAAUAUAAAUAUGCUCAACGAAGAAUUAUAGACAUAAAAGGUGAUUCAAAGAGUUCGGAUAGCACCACCCACCUGUAGUGGUGUCAAUCAACUAGAAUCCACGUCUCGGAAAGCGUCGACGACUAUCUCUCGCGACUCCGUGCAAAUAGAAGUAGAACGGUCUCUACCGUAAUUAGCGCGUCGCCGACCUGUCGGAAAGUCAAUUUAGACUCUUGGGCAUGUUUACUUUUCACUUAUAAAGGAUUAGAAAAGAUUAAACUAGAGUCAUUACUCAUAUUUUACAAGUUAGCAUUUCAAUGCUAUAUUAAGCGGCAACUAUAGCCGAAAACCUUCUUUUGGCGAUAUCUUUGCGUAGGUUCGUCGGAUUGCCGAACCGACUUCGCGAACGCGUUUCUUUUACCCUCAAUUUGGUUUACACGCGGUCAAUUUCGCAUUAGGACUUUUAUUUUGCAAAAGUGCAUUGCCGGGGUCAGUUUUCUCAAAAACACCCAUUUCAAUGCAAUUUCGCAAAUACGUUAAGUAUUUCAACUCUUUUUAGCCUUAGAAUCUCAAAAACACGUAGUGAAAUCUGCCCAAAUACUCGAUUCCAUUUUUCUCUCUAUUUCAUUUUCUUUCUUUUCUUUCUUCUCUUUCUUUUCUUUCCUUCUUUCUUCCUCUUUUCUUUCUUUCUUUCUUGCUGGCCCUGCAGGGCAGCAGCUGCUGCUGCCACUGCUGCUGCUGCUGAUUGCUGCAGCUGCUGCUGCUUGCUGCAGCUGCUGCUGCUGCUGCUGCUGCUGGCUAAGCUGCUGCUGCUGCUGCUGGCUAAGCUGCUGCUGCUAAUCCAGCAGCUGCUGCUGCUGGCGCAUGCUGCUGCUGCUGCUGGCGCAUGCUGCUGCUCCUGCGCACUGCUGCUGCUGCUGAUGCUCCUGAAGCUGUUGCUGCUGCUUCUGCUAAGGCUGCUGCUGCUGCUGCUGCAGCUCUGCUGCUGAGCUGCUGCUGCUGCUGCUGCUUCUCCUGCUGCUGAUCCAGCAGCUGCUGCUGGUACUAUUGCUACAAUCAGUAGCAGGGAGAGAGGGUAGAGAGGGAGAGAUCACAAGGAGAGGGAAAAAAAUAGAAUUUUACCUCUUUUUCUUUUUCUCUUCUUCUUCUUCUCUUUUCUCUUCUCUUCUUUCUCUUCUUUUCUCCUUCUCUCUCUCUCUCUCUCUCUGUACGUAGGCAGCAAGAAGGGGGAUAAGGAUGGAGGGGGCUGCCUGGCAGGUUUAGUGGAAAUCCACUAAGCCUAGGAUAUUUACCAUUUUGCCCCUCGAGUUAAGUCCGUUUAGUCGCACGGAUUAGAUACCUUUUGCAGGCUCUUCCGACAGUCCGAUUGAGCUCAAAUUUGGCAGGAAUGUUCAUUUUUACUUAACAAGUCCACUGAAAUUUUAACAUUUCAGUUUCGACCCCGUUUGGUCACUGCGAACUGUUCCGAACUGUAAUCUUUAUCCGAUAACUUCCAGAUGCUAUUUCUCUCUCUACAGGUGUCAGAAAAAUCUGAAACUUCAAAUCUAGCCUUAUAAUAAUGUUCCUGACAUCUCUGCCAAUUUUCAUAAUUUUCUGACACUGUGCAUUUUCUGCUAAUUUCUCAGUCCCGUUCUUUACAGAAAAUUCCAAUUCUUCUGUUUUCGCUCCGAUUUCAACACGAACACUUCCAAAACAUGCCGAGGGACUUUCACAAGCUACCAGUUUAAUUUGGAAGCAAUUCCUUUUCAUUUUGACAUCAUUUGAGCCGAAUUAGCAAUAGAAUCGGCUCCAAUUUCAUUACACGGCAGAAAUUUCUCCUUUUUGCACUACCACUUCGCACUGAACACUUCAAAACCCUUUGAAAACACACCCUUGGCUUUUCCGAAACUUCACAAUUGAUUCGGAGAUUCCACAAUUUAUCCUUACGCCUUACUUUAAUUCUUUUAAUCAAAGUUAGCGUCGGAAAUCUGAAAAUUCUCUUUACUCUCUUUACAUUUCGUUUCGCGCCCAAUUUGCGCCGACACACUUAUUUCUCUUUGGAACUCAUUCCAAUGCAUCACAAAUCCCUCGGGGAUGAUGUCCAACUAGCUCAAUCCUCACUUUGACCCUCUAGGUCAAAGUUGACAUCGCAACUCCAAAUUUCCAUAUGUUACAUUCUCCUCCCGUUAACAAAAGUUUCGUCCGCGAAACUUAGAUACUUAUUACUCCUCAUUGCUUAACGGAUGGAGAUAAAUUCCAACACUAUUCCAAAGUUUCUCAACUUCAUUCCAGAGUAUACUGAUUUCUCCAAUCAGUCUCUACGAACACUUUGUUCGCAUUUCCAAUCUCAACUCGUCAUCGAUGCUUAUUUUAACAAUUCUGACUCAUUAAUCCAUAGGACCGAGCCUUCGCUCUCACAGUCCCAAUACACUAUCCUUCACUUGGACAUGCACAUAGGUAAACUAUUUGUCUCAAUUACCUCAAAUCUGUUCAACUUAACUCAACGUCUCUCGCGCACAAGCGGAGACCCAAUUAUCAUUAUUGGGCGAAAUUCUCAUUGGAGAAUUCACACAUACUCCAACCAGGAGCAAUCGAGACCCCAAACCACGCCAAACCCUCGGGUUAGGUCACAACCGCACUCUCAGUGCAUCACCGAUUUCACGAUCCAACACGUGGCAUUCCACGUACUCGAGUCUAUGCUCGGACUACCAUCCUGACCAAAACUCUCCGCCCUACCUGCAGGUAUCGGGCCGCUGUCUCUCACAGCUGACUGCGCCUGCCCAAUGGGCCCAGGCUCCACAGUCCAAAAAGGGUCCAGGCACGGAUCGUCCCCAAGCACUACCCGCCAACAUCGUCCUGCACGACAUGCUCUACAGAGCUACCCACUCUAACGGCUCUUAAGCACCUAGUGCGAGCCAACAGCCCUAAGAGUGAUCCAUGGCCCGCUUCACACUUAGCCCUGCUAAAGCGCUACUGCCAAUUCACUCUUCAGGCUGAUCCACAAUCCACGAUCUACGGACAACUAACUCAAGUGUCCAACACGAUCGCGUCUCUCGCUAGAUAGCACUCCUCUAGUGCUCGUUAGGCAACUUAGCCUACGACUAUAAUACAUAAACACAAAUUUCCUCAACUGAUUUGAGGUACAACUCAAUUAACUCGCCAAAACCAGGCGAUAAUCUAACGACCUCCCAAUAGUGACGCCAUUACUGUUACGCAACCCAUCGGAAUAUCAUCCGACUUCUCAAUGUCAUGCGUUCUAGCAAAUGAGCUACUAAUGAAUGAAUGCAAUGCACCAGUGUCAAUAAUAUACGCGAUCUAGUACUAUAAAGUAAAACAAUACCUGCCACGACAUCGUCGACCACGGCAGGAUCCUCAACCUGAGCUGCAAAGACACGACCACUCGGUGCAGGUCGGGGUGGCUCGUACUGACGCGGCACAAAAGUAUGUCCAGCUGACAUAGCGGGUGGGGGACCCGCACGCUGCCUCGCAGGCGACUGAACUGAAGCUGUAGGCUGAGCAGAUGAUGCUCCUCUCGGGCAAUCACGACUAAUGUGUCCCGGCUGUCCACACUUAAAACAUUUACCGUCCUUUUGUGAACAAGCUACCGCUUGAUGAUUCCCGCCGCAAAUCACACAUCCCGGGGGUCCCUGAUACCUCGACUGGGAACGUGGAUACCGAGGGGGCCGUUUAGAGCUCGACUGUCCCCCGGCACCACUAGUGGUCCUUUUCUUUCCCUUUUCCCUUUCUCGUUCUCUUUCAAACGAUUCGCGUUCCUCACGCGCAAUCGCAUUUCCGCGCUCCACCCAAAGCGCUCGAUCCAGAACCUCCUCAAAUGUCUUUAACUUUAGAGCACUAAUUAUCUUAAAUAUUUCAGGCCGUAACCCCCGCUCGAAGUAAUCUGCUCUAUCUCGAUCGGUAUGCACCAUCCCGGGUACACAGUUCACCAAAUGAGUGAACUCCCGUUCGUACUCCCGUACCGAACGGUUCCCCUGUCUCAACUUCCUAAAAUCUUCCUUCAUCUUUCUUCUAUCGCUAUCUGGGAAGUACUCCAUGAAUACGAUCUCUCUAAACUCCUCCCAGGUAAUCGAUGAAGUGUUUAGACCUCGGCUUUUCUUGGCCUUUUGCCACCAGAUCUGGGCAUCCUUCUCAAAACAGUGCGCUGCUAAAUGAACCUUAUCCUUUUCCAGGGUAUAUAUAUCCUCAAACAAGGCUUCCAUCGAUGUGAACCACGUCUCUAAUACCCAAGGAUCGGCUUCUUUCCCGUCAAACAUCGGCGGAUUAAACCGCAUGAACGCCGUCAGUACUGAUAAGGAUCGCUCGUGCUCGGCCUUUGUCGCGGCCGAAUCAGAACUAGAAGGCCCAGAGACCACAGGAGGAAUAACAACUGGAGGAGGGGGCACUACCACUGGCGAAUCCGGGAUAGGUACAUCCUGACUCCCAGAAGCUGUUGUCGUCGCCUGUUGCGACACCAAAUUCUGUAGCUUUUUCAUAUUUUCCUCCUGUCUCUGUAUAGCUCCGACUAACGCGCUCACCUGAGCACGCAACUCCUGAACCUCAUCAGACCCAGACUGCUCUGGCACCUCAGAAGGUGAUGCCGGAGUGGAUCUCGUCGCACGUCGCGGUGGCAUUUCUCCUGAAACGAACCAUUUACAUUAGUAACACAAACCAAUCAGGCGAAAGCAAUCAAGCGUAUUUAUACUCAACCCUUAGCUUCAUGUUGUGGCCAUUCAACAUAACUCCUUAGGUUGUGUAUAGACAACACUUGGAUCAGCCCCUAAUGAACAUUAGAGACUUACUAACAACUAACCCAAUUCAUUCAGCUUUCGCUAUCAUUAGAUUCACGCCACUCGCGUUCCUAGUCCCUAGGUUUCCAUUCCUAAGUCCCCUAGGUCAUCCUAGACUUUCACUAUCACUUGCUCUGAUACCACUUUAUCUGUCACGUCCCGCUAUCGCCUAUUUGGUCGAUCCGGGCCCGCGCACAGACGCCGAACGAACAACACCUCCUCUGUUCGCCCAAGGCUCAACAACAACGAGUACAUGUAUAAAGAAAUAAAUAAUUCCCAGGAGCACAUUUCAAUAUACAUGGCUUGCACGAAGGCAAGCAACAACCACAAGUGAUAGUAAACUAACUGUACAAUGAAAUUCACUGUAAUUUAAAACUUUACACAACAGAACUUGUAACUAAAACAUUUAGUUUUAUACAUGUUUUCUAAUAUAUUCAUUUACAUGUCUCUGUACAUCAAAAUGGAUGAUACAUGAACUCAAAAUGGUAAUUGCUAAACUCUGGUGUCAGCUAGCUAAGCUGCAGGGCUCUUGCCACGAUCCUCGGCCUCAAACCUCGCACUGGAACCUGUAUGGUUAGUGGUGUGAGAACUACAAGAAAGUUCCCAGUGGGUUCGGCUGCCGACUUCGCCGACUCACCCACUAGGUCUACUCAGGCAUAUGUAGGCAAGAAAAGUAAGCAGAUAGUAACCAACUAUAACAUGUAACUACUACAAUGCCUGUACAAAGCUGAAAGAAGUAACAGAUAUGAAAACUGUAAAUAUGCAUGCAUGCUUUUCAUUAACUUUACCCAAUCUUUUGGUUAACUCUCUGGUUAACAGCUGGACAAGUACGUUAGUCCUGGGGCAAGUACGUUAGCCCAUAAAUUUACCCAAUUCAGUGGUUAACCCUUUGGUUAACAAUAACUCACCAACAAAAUCCCUCACGGGCCCUAAGCUGCCUCCCGAUGGGACCGUCUGUCGGACAAGUACGUUAGUCCUGGGGCAAGUACGUUAGCCCAACAAGUGACUACUCCGGAGCUCACUGCCUGGGGGGAGCGACCACCACCAAGCUAAGAAAACAGACUAGUGAGUAAGAUCUGAUCCCCUUUUAGAGGAUUCAACUGACAACAAUGUCACCAUUUA